UGGGGAAUAUUGCACAAUGGAGGGAACUCUGAUGCAGUGACGCCGCGUGAGUGAUGAAGGAAUUCGUUUCGUAAAACUCUGUUCUAUGGGAAGAAAAGGACUGUACCAUAGGAGAAAGCUCCGGCUAAAUACGUGCCAGCAGCCGCGGUAAUACGUAUGGAGCGAGCGUUGUCCGGAAUUAUUGGGCGUAAAGGGUGCGCAGGCGGCUUUACAAGUUGGAUGUGAAAUAUUGUGGCUCAACCACAAACGUGCAUCCAAAACUGCAAAGCUUGAGUUAAGGAGAGGUAAGUGGAAUUCCUGGUGUAGCGGUGGAAUGCGUAGAUAUCAGGAGGAAUACCGGUGGCGAAGGCGACUUACUGGACUUAAACUGACGCUCAGGCACGAAAGCGUGGGGAGCAAACAGG
rnacentral:rRNA from 1 species